CCUACGGGGGGCAGCAGUGAGGAAUAUUGGUCAAUGGACGCAAGUCUGACCCAGCAACGCCGCGUGAAUGAUGAAGGUCUUCGGAUUGUAAAGUUCUUUUCUAAGGGAAGAAGUAAGUGACGGUACCUUAGGAAUAAGCCUCGGCUAACUACGUGCCAGCAGCCGCGGUAAUACGGAGGAGGCAAGCGUUAUCCGGAAUGACUGGGCGUAAAGAGCGCGUAGGCGGGAUAGCAAGUCAGAUGUGAAAUCCUAUGGCUUAACCAUAGAACUGCAUUUGAAACUGUUAUUCUAGAGUAUGGGAGAGGUAGGUGGAAUUCUUGGUGUAGGGGUAAAAUCCGUAGAGAUCAAGAGGAAUACUCAUUGCGAAGGCGACCUGCUAGAACAUAACUGACGCUGAUGCGCGAAAGCGUGGGGAGCAAACAGGAUUAGAUACCCUAGUAGUC
rnacentral:rRNA from 1 species